rnacentral:rRNA from 1 species
CGCGUAGGCGGACAGUUUAGUCAGAGGUGAAAGCCCAGGGCUCAACCUUGGAACUGCCUUUGAUACUGGCUGUCUUGAGUUCGGGAGAGGUGAGUGGAAUGCCGAGUGUAGAGGUGAAAUUCGUAGAUAUUCGGCGGAACACCAGUGGCGAAGGCGACUCACUGGCCCGAUACUGACGCUGAGGCGCGAAAGCGUGGGGAGCAAACAGGAUUAGAUACCCUGGUAGUCCACGCUGUAAACGAUGAGUGCUAGUUGUCGGCAUGCAUGCAUGUCGGUGACGCAGCUAACGCAUUAAGCACUCCGCCUGGGGAGUACGGUCGCAAGAUUAAA